AUUGAACGCUGGCGGCAUGCCUUACACAUGCAAGUCGAACGGUAACGGGCCUUCGGGUGCCGACGAGUUGCGAACGGGUGAGUAAUACAUCGGAACGUGCCCGAUCGUGGGGGAUAACGAGGCGAAAGCUUUGCUAAUACCGCAUACGAUCUACGUAUGAAAGCAGGGGACCGCAAGGCCUUGCGCGGACGGAGCGGCCGAUGGCAGAUUAGGUAGUUGGUGGGAUAAAAGCUUACCAAGCCGACGAUCUGUAGCUGGUCUGAGAGGAUGAUCAGCCACACUGGGACUGAGACACGGCCCAGACUCCUACGGGAGGCAGCAGUGGGGAAUUUUGGACAAUGGGCGCAAGCCUGAUCCAGCCAUGCCGCGUGAAGGAUGAAGGCCUUCGGGUUGUAAACUGCUUUUGUACGGAACGAAAAGCCUUCUUUUAAUACAGGAGGGUCAUGACGGUACCGUAAGAAUAAGCACCGGCUAACUACGUG
rnacentral:rRNA from 1 species